rnacentral:rRNA from 1 species
GAUGAACGCUGGCGGCGUGCCUAAUACAUGCAAGUCGAGCGAACGGACGAGAAGCUUGCUUCUCUGAUGUUAGCGGCGGACGGGUGAGUAACACGUGGAUAACCUACCUAUAAGACUUGGAUAACUUCGGGAAACCGGAGCUAAUACCGGAUAAUAUUUUGAACCGCAUGGUUCAAAAGUGAAAGACGGUCUUGCUGUCACUUAUAGAUGGAUCCGCGCUGCAUUAGCUAGUUGGUAAGGUAACGGCUUACCAAGGCAACGAUGCAUAGCCGACCUGAGAGGGUGAUCGGCCACACUGGAACUGAGACACGGUCCAGACUCCUACGGGAGGCAGCAGUAGGGAAUAUUGCGCAAUGGGCGAAAGCCUGACGGAGCAACGCCGCGUGAGUGAUGAAGGUCUUCGGAUCGUAAAACUCUGUUAUUAGGGAAGAACAGAUGUGUAAGUAACUGUGCACAUCUUGACGGUACCUAAUCAGAAAGCCACGGCUAACUACGUG